UAUCCUUUGUUGCCAGCGGUCCGGCCGGGAACUCAAAGGAGACUGCCAGUGAUAAACUGGAGGAAGGUGGGGAUGACGUCAAGUCAUCAUGGCCCUUACGAUCAGGGCUACACACGUGCUACAAUGGCGCAUACAAAGAGAAGCGACCUCGCGAGAGCAAGCGGACCUCAUAAAGUGCGUCGUAGUCCGGAUUGGAGUCUGCAACUCGACUCCAUGAAGUCGGAAUCGCUAGUAAUCGUGGAUCAGAAUGCCACGGUGAAUACGUUCCCGGGCCUUGUACACACCGCCCGUCACACCAUGGGAGUGGGUUGCAAAAGAAGUAGGUAGCUUAACCUUCGGGAGGGCGCUUACCACUUUGUGAUUCAUGACUGGGGUGAAGUCGUAACAAGGUAACCGUAGGGGAACCUGC
rnacentral:rRNA from 1 species